UCUAGAGCCUCAAUCUUAACGCACACAAAUGUCAAUCAUUACAAAGCAAAUUUAAACCCUGAAUGAAUUUUCCCACGAUCAUCCAGAAAGGUCACCUGAGUUUACUGUUACGUGAUAAUAUUUCCCGCCAAAUAAAAAUCUCGUGGACAAAAUUGAUGUCACUAUUUUUAGCAUUCAAUAUUGUAAGCGAAGUCAAGUUCAAAGUUCAACCACACACUGUUGAUCACUGAGAUGGGUUUCGUCUUCCCAUGG
rnacentral:lncRNA from 1 species